GUGCUUAACACAUGCAAGUCGAACGGGAUCCCGGGGGUUCGCUCCCGGGUGAGAGUGGCGAACGGGUGAGUAAUGCGUGACCGACCUGCCCCAUACACCGGAAUAGCUCCUGGAAACGGGUGGUAAUGCCGGAUGCUCCGGUUGGAUGCAUGUCCUUCCGGGAAAGAUUCUAUCGGUAUGGGAUGGGGUCGCGUCCUAUCAGCUUGAUGGCGGGGUAACGGCCCACCAUGGCUUCGACGGGUAGCCGGCCUGAGAGGGCGACCGGCCACAUUGGGACUGAGAUACGGCCCAGACUCCUACGGGAGGCAGCAGUGGGGAAUAUUGCACAAUGGGCGCAAGCCUGAUGCAGCGACGCCGCGUGCGGGAUGGAGGCCUUCGGGUUGUAAACCGCUUUUGAUCGGGAGCAAGCCCUUCGGGGUGA
rnacentral:rRNA from 1 species